rnacentral:rRNA from 1 species
AAGAAAAUGACUCUCGGCAACGGAUAUCUCGGCUCUCGCAUCGAUGA